UACGUAGGGGGCUAGCGUUGUCCGGAUUUAUUGGGCGUAAAGAGCUCGUAGGCGGCUCAGUUAGUCGGGUGUGAAACCCCCGGGUUCAACCCGGGGACGCCACCCGAUACUGCUGUGGCUAGAGUCCGGUAGGGGAGCGUGGAAUUCCUGGUGUAGCGGUGAAAUGCGCAGAUAUCAGGAGGAACACCAGCGGCGAAGGCGGCGCUCUGGGCCGGAACUGACGCUGAGGAGCGAAAGCGUGGGGAGCGAACAGG
rnacentral:rRNA from 1 species